rnacentral:rRNA from 1 species
UACGGGGGGGGCAAGCGUUGUUCGGAAUUACUGGGCGUAAAGGGCUCGUAGGCGGCCAACUAAGUCGGAUGUGAAAUCCCCAGGCUUAACCUGGGAACUGCAUCCGAUACUGGAUGGCUUGAAUCCGGGAGAGGGAUGCGGAAUUCCAGGUGUAGCGGUGAAAUGCGUAGAUAUCUGGAGGAACACCGAUGGCGAAGGCAGCCCCCUGGGCUAACACUGACGCUGAUGCACGAAAGCGUGGGGAGCAAACAGG